rnacentral:misc_RNA from 1 species
ACCAUAACCAACUGUUGUCAUGGUGGUAAUGGACCAAUACAAAGCUGCAAUGUAUCUAAUCACAAGACUUGUCUCCUUGUAAUUUGGAUUCAUAGCUCCUAACCAUGUAUCUCCUUGAUGUGGAUAUCUAUCAGCUAGCAAAUAGUAUAGGCAUCCAGCACAGUGCACUGUUAAUAGUGUCACAAAUAGAAGUCUGGCACAUCUGACCCAAAAGUAGCUGAAUCUCAUGUCUUUUUCAAGUCUGGUAAAAAAUUGUUUUACUCUGCGAAGACGCCAAAAUCUGAGCAUUCCUAAAACAGAGUAAGAAACGCCAACUUGGUGUUUGCCAGUGAGCAACAACGCUAAAAGAUCGAAUGGUAUAGUUGACGCCACAUCCAUAAUAAACCAUGUUGAUAAGUAUCUUAUAGCAAUUUUUCUCCUGUCACGUACAAGGAGUUGAGUUGUAGCAUCAAUAUAAGCAACAAAGAAAGUUAAGAAGAUAUCAGCAGCAAAGAAGAUAUCAACAACGUUGUCUGUUAUGUAUAAAGCUGUGUUUGGAUUGGAGUGCAUGAAUGCUAUCUCAAAUGGACAUACCCAUGCAGAAUAUGCCACCAUUAUUACCAUUAAACUCUCCCAACACCUGUAUCUUGAAUCCAUAGGAGUGAUGAUAAAUCCUUUCUCGUGAGUUUGAUUUGUGUUGGAAUCAUUGGAACCAAGAGGAGGGAGAAUGAGCUUCGAUAAGUUUCGAAAACUAAGAUCAUCUGAUGGAGUAGCUGAAUUGCUACUCCCAUGGCUAUUAUCAUCUUGUACAACAUGUUGCUCUUUCUUGCUAUCUUCAACAAUCAUGUUUUUUGUGAAGUUAUUGCAUGAAUGGCUCAUUUCCAUAUUGAUGUUACCUAUCUAUAUGAGCAAAAAAGCUAAAAUGAUAGUAGUACAACUGUGGGGGGUUAAUAAUAAAGUUAGAUGAAUAAUUGCAAGUGAGAAA